GGCGAACGGGUGAGUAACGCGUAGGAAUCUACCCAAGAGUGGGGGACAACCCGGAGAAAUCCGGGCUAAUACCGCAUACGCCCUACGGGGUAAAGUGGGGGAGCUUUUCGGAGCCCUCAUGCUUUUGGAUGAGCCUGCGUCGGAUUAGCUAGUUGGUGAGGUAAUGGCUCACCAAGGCGACGAUCCGUAGCUGGUCUGAGAGGAUGACCAGCCACACUGGGACUGAGACACGGCCCAGACUCCUACGGGAGGCAGCAGUGGGGAAUAUUGGACAAUGGGGGCAACCCUGAUCCAGCCAUGCCGCGUGUGUGAAGAAGGCCUUAGGGUUGUAAAGCACUUUCAGUGGGGAAGAAAAGCCUGAGGAUAAUACCCUCGGGUUAUGACGGUACCUACAGAAGAAGCACCGGCUAAUUCCGUGCCAGCAGCCGCGGUAAUACGGA
rnacentral:rRNA from 1 species